CCGUUCUCAUACCGAACACGGAAGUUAAGCUGCACAGAGCCGAUGGUACUGUACGGGACACUGUAUGGGAGAGUAGGACGUUGCCGCAU
rnacentral:rRNA from 1 species